rnacentral:lncRNA from 1 species
AGGUGUCGUCAACGAGGUCGGCGGAUGCGGGUGGGAGGAUGGUGAUGAGAAGAAGUUGAGUGAACGAGACAAGUGUGAAGAGCAUUGGAGUCUUCAUAUUGCUGGAGUCUGUUAUUGAAGGAGACGAUUAUGCCGAUGAGGUUUUGGAAGAGGAUUGUAAGAAACGGAAUACUUUUGGCGUAGAAAUGUGUGCUAAUAGAUCCUUUAAAUCGAGGUUGAUUGC